AAGCGGAGGAGCAUGUGGUUUAAUUCGAUGAUACGCGAGGAACCUUACCUGGGCUCGAACGUAAGAUGACUGUAGGUGAAAGCUUACAUCUCUUCGGAGCAUUUUACGAGGUGCUGCAUGGUUGUCGUCAGCUCGUGCCGUGAGGUGUCGGGUUAAGUCCCAUAACGAGCGCAACCCUACCUUUAGUUGCCAUCAGGUAAUGCUGGAGACUCUAAAGGAACUGCCUACGCAAGUAGUGAGGAAGGCGGGGAUGACGUCAAAUCAGCACGGCCCUUACGUCCAGGGCUACACACGUGCUACAAUGGCCGAUACAGAGGGCAGCUACCUGGUGACAGGAUGCAAAUCUCCAAAGUCGGUCUCAGUUCGGAUCGGAGUCUGCAACCCGACUCCGUGAAGCUGGAAUCGCUAGUAAUCGUGAAUCAGAAUGUCACGGUGAAUACGUUCCCGGGCCUU
rnacentral:rRNA from 1 species